AUUGAACGCUGGCGGCAGGCCUAACACAUGCAAGUCGAGCGGAGCGGCGGACGGGGGAGUAAUGCCUAGGUAUCUGCCUGGUAGUGGGGGAUCACGUCCGGAAACGGGCGCUAUUGCCACAUGCUUUCAGAGGAGCCUAGGUCGGAGUAGCUAGUUGGUGGGGUAAAGGCUUACCAAGGCGACGAUCCGUAACUGGUCUGAGAGGAUGAUCAGUCACACUGGAACUGAGACACGGUCCAGACUCCUACGGGAGGCAGCAGUGGGGAAUAUUGGACAAUGGGCGAAAGCCUGAUCCAGCCAUGCCGCGUGUGUGAAGAAGGUUUUCGGAUUGUAAAGCACUUUAAGUUGGGAGGCGUUACCAACAGAAUAAGCACCGGCUAACUACGUGCCAGCAGCCGCGGUAAUAC
rnacentral:rRNA from 1 species